rnacentral:rRNA from 1 species
GUGGGGAAUAUUGGACAAUGGGGGGAACCCUGAUCCAGCCAUGCCGCGUGUGUGAAGAAGGCCUUUUGGUUGUAAAGCACUUUAAGCGAGGAGGAGGCUACCGAGAUUAAUACUCUUGGAUAGUGGACGUUACUCGCAGAAUAAGCACCGGCUAACUCUGUGCCAGCAGCCGCGGUAAUACAGAGGGUGCAAGCGUUAAUCGGAUUUACUGGGCGUAAAGCGCGCGUAGGUGGCCGAUUAAGUCAAAUGUGAAAUCCCCGAGCUUAACUUGGGAAUUGCAUUCGAUACUGGUUGGCUAGAGUAUGGGAGAGGAUGGUAGAAUUCCAGGUGUAGCGGUGAAAUGCGUAGAGAUCUGGAGGAAUACCGAUGGCGAAGGCAGCCAUCUGGCCUAAUACUGACACUGAGGUGCGAAAGCAUGGGGAGCAAACAGGAUUAGAAACCCUGGUAGUCC